AUGUUAAACAUGCUAUAUGAUGUUGAGUUGAAGUUCAAUUUUUGCACAUGCACAAAUUGACAAAAUAAUAAGAAUAAUACAACAAGACGUAUGCUUAAACUAUAAAUCCGUAGAUUUAAGCUAACAUUAGAUUUAUCAUACAUAGACAGAUUGGAUGCACUAAGUCAAAACAUCAGUGCAUUUAACCGAGAUGAAAUUGAACAAAUAUGGAGUUGCUUCGGCAAUUUGGAAUUAAUACUAUAUCCCAAGGACCAAGAAGCUCCAAUUCAUUCAAAUA
rnacentral:misc_RNA from 1 species